UUAGUUCAUGUGUAGUCUUCCAUUCAAUUAUUUUUUUUUCAAGUAAACCUUGCUUCUUAUUUUUCACAAAACAACUUCUUUCUUCGGUUAAUUCUCCUUCAUCCUCUGCCUCAAUAUUUAUUUCUUCUUUACCUAACAAGUACCAAAAGCCUAAAAUUUUAAAUUUGAAUGGCAAAAAAGAGGUAUAAUUAUAACCCAGCAUUCAUUGUUCAUUGAAUUUGUAUAGUUGUUUCUCCCCUUAUUUUUUUUUCAAUUCGUCGCCGUGGUGGCGUUGGCAUCACAAUGAACAUCGUGGUAGGAAUUACGGCGGUGGAUGAGAUGGCAACCGCUAUGGUGGUGGAAGAGAAUAUGGAGGUGGUGGUCGCGGCAGAAUUUGUGGUGGUGGUGGAUUCAAAGAAGGAAACGGUGAAAUAGAUCAGUGAAAAAACUAAGCAGUGAUGAUUUAGAGCAUAUGUAUCAAGACUAGGAAAGCAUAAAAAAUAUUAGCGGCAAGAAGAACAGAGCGAUAAGAAAGGCUGGUGGUGUCAAGUGGAAGUCCAUGUUUGAUGCUUAACCAUACCAAGCAAAUACUAAGAAGAAUAAACUAGCAUAUGAGGAGAAUAUCAAGGCCUACGACAAAGAAUUGGUAGCUGCAUUUGAUAAUGGAAUGAGCUCAAAAUAUUUGUUGGAGUCAGAACCAGCAUGAAGUAAUAUUGAGGUAUUAUCUUCUGUUCAUGUAUAUUACCCUUCCAUUAAUCAACAAUCAAGAAUAUAAUGUUGAAAUGGCCUUCUUACGAUUUUUACAACAACUUAAUGCAAGGUUCUGUAUCACCUUUAUUCAAAUCUCUGUUAAUAUCAGAUAAUGUGAGUUCUAAAAGAAUUUUCUUGCUAUCUCUUAUAAUUUAUAGUCUCUAAUAAUAUAAGAGAAUUAGUUGUGCACUCAAUAUAAUAUGUUGUUUUCUUUCUAUUCUUAUAUAAUAUGAAUUUUUUGAUCAUAUGUAAAUUAUUUCAAAUUUUCUGCUAUUCUAAAAAAAGAUAUUUAUAUUGACUAUGCUUUUUGAUAGAUGCACUGAUGAGUCAUGAGUUUAUCAAAACACGUUUUUGCACCUUGGUGUAUUAAUUAUGAUGCAAUUAGUAAACAAAUAGAAAAGUUAGCAAAUUCACUACUAAGUAGCAACUAAUUUGAUAUAUACAGAAAUAGAUGCUUUAGCAAAUGAACAUCUAAAAUUACAAGUAAGUAUAAUACAAAAGUUUAGUUUACAUGUUUCUGUUUUUUUUUUUUUUUGUCUUAAAAAAUAAAAUCCUGCAUCAAUUUUAAGAAUUAGAAUCAUGUUAAUUUAUUAAAAAAAUAUUUAUAUGACCAAACACUUCUCUUUUGUUUAAUGACAAGUGAAUGACUAUCCCACACUUCUACUUUACAAAGCACAUGAUAAGACAAAUUUGAUAAUUAUUUUUAGGUACUUUGUUUUUGGUGGUAAACAUUUGAUUUAUUCUUUGUUUUUGUUUUUCUAUAAAAUAACAAAUUAUACUUCUCAUAGGAAAUGAUUAAUUUAUUUUAUUUUAUUUUAUUUGUAUGGUAACAUUCCUUCUUAAUUUAGAAUUUUAUCAUUGAUUUAUAUUCAAAAAAUGGUUGAGUGCAUAGCAUAUCGAUUGAAAACAAUAAAACUAAUUUCAUGUAGGUUUGUUUUAAUUUUUAAAUAGUCAUUUUUUUUUUGUGCUUCUUAUUACUUGAUUCAGUGUGUUGUUUAGAAGCCAAUAGUUAGUUAUUGAAUGAUAUUUUAUUUCAUAUACCAUGUAUCAUGCCUUCUUAUUACUUGGUUGAAAAUUUGAUCAUGCAACUGAUUAUGUAUUGGGAAUGCUAUGUUUUGAUUGAUUAUGCCUACUAAUGUAUUAUACAGUUUAUGUUGUUGUGUCAGCUUUUAGAGAUUCUUCAUUUUUAUUCAAAUUAUAUGGCAUAAGCUUCAAUAGUCAAUGGAAUUAAUUUUUUAGAGCAUUUGAUGAGUAUGAAGGGAUAAAAAAUACAUGUUAACAUAGUUUGAUUUUUUGUUUUUAAAGUAAUUUAUACAUUAUUAUACUAGCAAGGGCCUUAUUUGAUUAUUGGUUUUGAAUUCCAUGUUUUGACAGUAUAACGAAGUUCUUGGCAAAGGAGUUUCUAAGACAAUGUAUACACCAUAUCUUUUAUUAUUUUUAGCAUAGUCACCUUAUAAAAUUUUUAAAGAAAAAUCUUCAAUUAUUUUUAGAUUUUCUUCUUUUCGCAAGUUAAAAAUUGUGGGAUACCACCAAAAUAUGAUAUUUGUUUUUAAUGAGGUCAUAUAUAUUUUUUGCAGUGUUCUCAAUAAACAUUGCCGGUUUUUUAUUUUAAUUAUUUAUUUAUUGCUGAAAACUAAUGGCUACAAAAUCUUCCAUUUCUAUAAUUUUCAUAGGUUGUGAAACUUUAUGAAAAAUAGUUGAUUGUGUGUGCCAAUUACUCUAAAUACUAGAUGCGUUAUGCAGAGUUAAUGAAAAUGAAGGGGAAGAGAAAUUACAAAUUAUUCUGUAGACCAAGUAACAGAAAUUUAUUUGUUUACUAAAAUAUAUUUAUUUGAUUGAAUUUUGUGUUAAUGCUUGGCUUAUUAUGUGCUUUUGCUCUUUUUUUAUAUGAGCUUUUCUAAAGUGAUUUGACAAAUAAUUACAAAUGAUAAGACUUUUUAAUGAAUGAAAAUAUGAAGUAUAAUAAUCAAUAUCAAAUGACAGUAUUACGCAUUCAAGAUGCAGAGACUGUAUUUUUAAUAGAAAUUUUUAAGUUAAAUUGUAAAAGUGAAAUCUAUAACUUCAGAAGUCGAGGUCAACAUAUAUUGUAAGUCAUCUUUAAUGAAUUAAGAGGAGAAAGAUGAACAAUGAGCUGAAAAAAUUUAGUUUUUAGUUAUCUUUUAACUAUUCUAAAGAUCUAUUUUUUGUCCCCAUUAUUGUGGUUCCUAAACUAUAAUAAAAUAAAGUUCAAAUUCUAUUAAGUAGAUGCAUAAUUUGUAUUUGCACUAAUAUUUUCUCCUGUUUUACUAUUUUCAUGAUUUUAGUAUUUUUUUCUAAUUUGGUAUUACUCAAGCAAAAUCAGGGAUAGCUUUGGGAGUAAAAUAUACCAAAUUUUUGGUGAUAAUAUAUUGCAAAACUUAUAAAAUAUGUUUUUGUUUCUUUUAUUUUCUCUUCAUCAUUUUUUUACUCAAUUUAUUCAUUAUUACUGUUAUUUGUUUAUUUACUUUUCAUUUUUAGCUGUUGUAUGACUUAAUUAUCUCUCUCUUUUAUCUUUCUAUACAAUAUAUUUUAUUCUAUAUUUUUAUUUUUAUUCUAACCUUAUCUUGUUACAAAGACAACAUUAAAAUGUUCAUGUGAAUCUUGGAUCAAAUCACAUAUAUCAAUUCUUAUUGUAUUUAUAUGGCUUUUAGAUGAUUGGGAGUGUAUGAUUGAAUUUUACUUUUGUGUAAAUGUAUUGAAAAAAUUUGAUAGCAUCAGUGUAUUAUGGGUACAAAGAAGCUCAAAAAAAUGUAUAGUACGAUAUUAAUUUUGGUGA